rnacentral:rRNA from 1 species
UACGUAGGGGGCAAGCGUUGUCCGGAUUUAUUGGGCGUAAAGAGCUCGUAGGUGGCUUGUCGCGUCGGGUGUGAAGCUUGGGGCUUAACUCCAGGUCUGCAUUCGAUACGGGCAGACUAGAGGUAGGUAGGGGAGAAUGGAAUUCCCGGUGUAGCGGUGAAAUGCGCAGAUAUCGGGAGGAACACCCGAGUAGCGGAAGGCGGCUCCGCGUGGGCCCAUUCCGUGACG